CUUUCUAAAACUCUCUGAUGAUUCCACUAGAUAAAAAUGCGUAAUCUCACACAAGAUAUUUUGUGAUUUUAUCUCUACCGGCUAUUACAACAAUUCUACAUGGUUAAUCUACAUUAUUCAAUUCUAGUUAUUUCAGAAUCCUCGAUCUAACAUUUGGCAAUGUUACAAGGGCAGAAAAUAAGACCGACAUCCCCCCCACCUUCACCUGGAUUCAAUGGCAUAAGUUUCUGAGCCUCGUAGAAAUGAUCGGCGCCACCAAAUCUGGAAUGCUCUGCUGAGAUUGGGGCAUUCAGUGCCAUGCUUGGAGAAACACCUAAACCAUUCCAUAAACAACAUAUACUGCUGCUUCAGAGGAAGUGUUAGGAGUGUCUGACCCAUGGCUUCUUCCAGUGCCUUCAUGUCCAACCCCUUUUUGCAUCUCUGCAGCCAACCAAAAUCUGCUAGCAUUGGGUGAAACCACGCCUGGAAAAGCCCUGCUCUUGCUUCUGCACGGCAAUGCAGUUUUCUGGUCCCCAUUGCAAUGAAUAGAGUUGCAGAAACCCGACUAAGCUCAUAUCUAACCAUUGGAGAUGUGCUCUCAUGCAUUCUAAGCAGGUCCCCUUGAUCUGCCCACAUAUCCACAAAUUCUUCGCCCAUCUGCUGAUCAAGAAGCAUUUCUAGCAACCAGUUGAUGUUAUCAACCUGUCUAGAGAUGCGUUCAAUCAAUGUUUUGCCUGUUUUCGUCACCUUCCGAUUGGGUGAAGUGUUGGAGGCCUCUUCCAAAAGGGUGCCUAAUGAACUUAGACAAGACUGACAAACAACAUAGAGAUCCUCCUUAUUAAGUUCAGGUUGGUCCUUCUCAUAGAUUGAGCUUUUGCUAAAAAGACCCUUAACUAAUGACUUUAGUUCAUUUCUUGCAUUGGCAUCUGUACAAGUGGUGAUAGACCAAACAAGUUGUCUAGCUAAAUUUUGUUGACACUCUACUGAGUCAUGCAAGUAGAGUCUGGCCAAAAUAUCUUGAGUUGCUGUCUCCUCAAAUUUACACACUGAAAACAGACCCCUGAGUUUUUCCUCUUCUUCUUCAGUCCAAGGAACAGCCUCAAGGUAUUUCAAACAGGAUGAAACACCUUUGGUAAACAUGAUGCCAGCAGAAACCUAGAAUAAUUUCAAAAUAACUUCUUAAACAAAUAAUGCGGUUUCCAAUAGAAUACAAAAUUCUUUAAUAUAAGGCCACUUUUAAGUUCCAAGCCAGUGUGGUCUAAUGUUGUCCUUAAAAAGGACCGGCGAUGUAUUAUGAAUGAGUUUCUAUUGUAUAUAUUACAGUGUCAUCUGUAUUUGAAAUACAAUGAUCAAGUUUCAGUUGUUAUCACUACAAAGUUGUUGAGCUUAAAUUUUAGACCGUAAUCUAGUCCUAGUUUCUUAAGUGUGUUUUUUUAUAGAAACAAGAAGAAUUUCACCUAUUGAUCAAAUAAUAUAUACCAGGAAGGAGUUAAAAAAAAAGAUAACAAGUUUACAUACUUUUUGAAUGGCGGAAUGAACACAUAAAAAGGUCAAUGUGCUUAUGCACACAAAUGCGUGUUCAAGAGCCCAAGUGAAUGAUUUAUACACGUGUCUAAUACAAUGAUUCUCAACUCAACUCUACUAUAAUCUUAACCUCAAACUGAAUUUAUUAAUACAAAUCUUCUUCAGUUCAUCCUAUUCAAGGAAUACUGUCUAAAAAAUGCUCAAUGAACAAUUCUUUGUUGAAAUAUUUGAAGCCACAGUUUGUCUAGCUUUCACUUUCCUCUUCACUUGUUGGUUUUAACAAGUGCUUCCAAAGAUCAAUGUUAACGAAAAUCAAACCUGCUUUGACAACAUUUCCUUAAUUUAUCAUCUCUUGUUAAUAACUUAUUUACAUGAUUGCAAUCAAUCAUUAUUUUAAGGUUUCUUGUAUUAUGACACUAGCAACCUCACAUCCCAAGUCAAAGACCUAAGUCUACCUUUCAAUUAUGGCCAUCAUUUUCUUUUGCAUCAAUUAUAUACACAACUUUUAACAUUAUUAACUAUAGCAGGACUAGGGAGUAUAUGCACCAAUGCUUCCAAAUUGCUGGCAAAGCAUAUAUUUUAAUAAAAAAAUACAGUGGGUUGCAACAUCAGCAAUAAGAUUUCUUGAAUUUCAGAUAUAUGCCAAAUCAACAAUUUGGGAGAACUGGUACAAUCAUUCUCUAUGCCAGUUUAGGCCUGGCGUAUGGCACCAUUAUUGAUACCAAUAAUCAAGGUUGUGUAAUUGGCAAGGAAAUAGAACAUACAACAUAACUAAAAAUUGUACUAGGAUUAAAUUUUUCUAGUCAUUAGUCCUCCAUUUGUGUAAAUAAUUUCUUUCUUCUGCUAACUUUAUAUACCAUGAUGCAUGGCUUCUUUUAUGAUAUGACAUAUUUACUGCGCAAAACAGUUUACAACUGGACACAUUAAUCGAUUAGAAUUUUAGAAGAACUUUUGGUAUCACUUUCUCCCCCCUCUACUCCUAACACAAAGUUCGUAGUAAUGAUACACAAAAUGUGGACAAUGAGAAAGCAUCUUGAGCUAAAACCUAUACUCCAAUCAUAUUUCUCAGAUAAGUAAGCUGCUUUGUCAGUUAAUAUAGAGGUUCAGUAUAUAGUAAGAUAUCCGCUUUGCUCCACAUUUUACUGGAUUCCAUGAACCUCAAGAACAAUUCCUCAAUGCCCAUAAUGUGAUAAGACUACUCUAAAAAUAUCAUCAGUUUGUCUGUUCACCUUCUCAAACAAGGUAAAAAACUUGCGCAAUUCAAACCCACCAAGAGGGUAACUCUAUGCUGCAAGCACUUACUAUACCUGGACACCCUAUGAAAAUCAAACAAGAAAAACUAGAGAACACCCCCAUAACAGUAGAUUAGGAUAUAAAUACAGACUUAAAUGAUAAACUAUGCUCAAACCAAUCUCAUAUAAAAAUGCUCUUUCCCAAACUCAAUUUUCAUGAUUAAUCUUUGAUAAUGCAAUGCUCCUCCACAAAUAUUAUAAUCCAAAUAUAGUCUGCUAAACAUUUUUUUAAGAAAAUCCCAAAAGUAUUCUAUCCACAGUAGCACACAGCAUUCCCAUCAAAACCCAGAAACUAAAACAUAGAAACCAAACAAUAUAUGCAAGAAAGGCAUAACAGAGAGGCCACUUACCUCAAGAAUAUCAAUGGCUCUAUAAACCCCAAUCUUCAAGAGCCUUUUAGUAAUAUUGUCCUCGAACAUUAGCUCAAUUGUGUCCCUAAAAACCCCCAAAUUCUCUACAUCAGGCACCUCUAUUCUACACAUUUUCAACGAAUAAUUAUUGCCUUUUCUAUCACUCGUCGACCCCAAACCUUGCCGAUAUUCCGAAAUUAACCCUGCAAAAACCUCCGAAUUCGCAAUCAGAACCUCCGAGCUAGUUUCCAGCACCAAUGCCCCUCCCUUCUUCCCCCUCAAGUUUAGCCUCACGUCAAACAAGCCCUCAUACUGCUCCCAACCCGAACCCGAAUGCAACAAAGAUCCCUCAUUCUUGCCCCGGAAAGACUCGGAUCUUGAUUUGAGAGCUGAGUCGACGACUGUAGAUGGGUCAGGGACGAUUUCUUGGACGGAAUAGCCGGCGGUGGGGUCGGAGUCAAUGGGAGAGACACGGCCUGGGGAGAGGAUCCGGCGGGGGUCGAUCCUACCCACGAAGUUUAACCCGGAUUUGGAGUUAAGCGGUGAGCCGGGGAGUGAGUUUGAAGCGGGUUUAGAAAAGGAGUCAUGCUUCUUAUGAAGUGCUUUAGCGAUGAUUACAGGGUUCUCGGGGCUUGGGGGAUGACCAGAUAAGGAGCAGCACCAGGAGAGUUUCCGAGGCUGGGAAGGGGGCUUCCGGCGGGCGGAAUUGGCCAUGGAACGGCGGCGAGUCAGAUCCGGAGUUCUAGAGAGAGAAAGCAACAGAGACAGAACAUUGUUGUAAAAUGGAAGAAAGGGAAGAGGGUAGCAUUGUUUAGGAAGAGAUGCCUCAAUAAUGACUCAAGACAAAAGUUCG
rnacentral:misc_RNA from 1 species